GAUGAACGCUGACAGAAUGCUUAACACAUGCAAGUCAACUUGAACUUCGGUUUGGGUGGCGGCCGGGUGAGUAACGCGUAAAGAACUUGCCUCACAGCUAGGGACAACAUUUGGAAACGAAUGCUAAUACCUGAUAUUAUGAUUAUAUGGCAUCGUAUAAUUAUGAAAGCUAUAUGCGCUGUGAGGGAGCUUUGCGUCCCAUUAGCUAGUUGGAGAGGUAACAGCUCACCAAGGCGAUGAUGGGUAGCCGGCCUGAGAGGGUGAUCGGCCACAAGGGGACUGAGACACGGCCCUUACUCCUACGGGAGGCAGCAGUGGGGAAUAUUGGACAAUGGACCGAGAGUCUGAUCCAGCAAUUCUGUGUGCACGAUGAAGUUUUUCGGAAUGUAAAGUGCUUUCAGUUGGGAAGAAAAAAAUGACGGUACCAACAGAAGAAGUGACGGCUAAAUACGUG
rnacentral:rRNA from 1 species